rnacentral:rRNA from 1 species
UGAACGCUGGCGGCAGGCCUAACACAUGCAAGUCGAACGGUAGCACAGAGAGCUUGCUCUUGGGUGACGAGUGGCGGACGGGUGAGUAAUGUCUGGGAAACUGCCCGAUGGAGGGGGAUAACUACUGGAAACGGUAGCUAAUACCGCAUAACGUCUUCGGACCAAAGUGGGGGACCUUCGGGCCUCACACCAUCGGAUGUGCCCAGAUGGGAUUAGCUAGUAGGUGGGGUAAUGGCUCACCUAGGCGACGAUCCCUAGCUGGUCUGAGAGGAUGACCAGCCACACUGGAACUGAGACACGGUCCAGACUCCUACGGGAGGCAGCAGUGGGGAAUAUUGCACAAUGGGCGCAAGCCUGAUGCAGCCAUGCCGCGUGUAUGAAGAAGGCCUUCGGGUUGUAAAGUACUUUCAGCGGGGAGGAAGGCGAUGGAGUUAAUAGCUUCAUCGAUUGACGUUACCCGCAGAAGAAGCACCGGCUAACUCCGUGCCAGCAGCCGCGGUAAUACGGAGGGUGCAAGCGUUAAUCGGAAUUACUGGGCGUAAAGCGCACGCAGGCGGUCUGUCAAGUCGGAUGUGAAAUCCCCGGGCUUAACCUGGGAACUGCAUUCGAAACUGGCAGGCUAGAGUCUUGUAGAGGGGGGUAGAAUUCCAGGUGUAGCGGUGAAAUGCGUAGAGAUCUGGAGGAAUACCGGUGGCGAAGGCGGCCCCCUGGACAAAGACUGACGCUCAGGUGCGAAAGCGUGGGGGAGCAAACAGGAUUAGAUACCCUGGUAGUCCACGCCGUAAACGAUGUCGACUUGGAGGUUGUGCCCUUGAGGCGUGGCUUCCGGAGCUAACGCGUUAAGUCGACCGCCUGGGGAGUACGGCCGCAAGGUUAAAACUCAAAUGAAUUGACGGGGGCCCGCACAAGCGGUGGAGCAUGUGGUUUAAUUCGAUGCAACGCGAAGAACCUUACCUACUCUUGACAUCCAGAGAACUUAGCAGAGAUGCUUUGGUGCCUUCGGGAACUCUGAGACAGGUGCUGCAUGGCUGUCGUCAGCUCGUGUUGUGAAAUGUUGGGUUAAGUCCCGCAACGAGCGCAACCCUUAUCCUUUGUUGCCAGCGGUCCGGCCGGGAACUCAAAGGAGACUGCCAGUGAUAAACUGGAGGAAGGUGGGGAUGACGUCAAGUCAUCAUGGCCCUUACGAGUAGGGCUACACACGUGCUACAAUGGCGCAUACAAAGAGAAGCGACCUCGCGAGAGCAAGCGGACCUCAUAAAGUGCGUCGUAGUCCGGAUUGGAGUCUGCAACUCGACUCCAUGAAGUCGGAAUCGCUAGUAAUCGUAGAUCAGAAUGCUACGGUGAAUACGUUCCCGGGCCUUGUACACACCGC